CACUCCUGCGGGAGGCAGCAGUGGGGAAUUUUGGACAAUGGGCGAAAGCCUGAUCCAGCAAUGCCGCGUGUGUGAAGAAGGCCUUCGGGUUGUAAAGCACUUUUGUCCGGAAAGAAAUCCUUGGCUCUAAUACAGUCGGGGGAUGACGGUACCGGAAGAAUAAGCACCGGCUAACUACGUGCCAGCAGCCGCGGUAAUACGUAGGGUGCGAGCGUUAAUCGGAAUUACUGGGCGUAAAGCGUGCGCAGGCGGUUUGCUAAGACCGAUGUGAAAUCCCCGGGCUCAACCUGGGAACUGCAUUGGUGACUGGCAGGCUAGAGUAUGGCAGAGGGGUGUAGAAUUCCACGUGUAGCAGUGAAAUGCGUAGAGAUGUGGAGGAAUACCGAUGGCGAAGGCAGCCCCCUGGGCCAAUACUGACGCUCAUGCACGAAAGCGUGGGGAGCAAACAGGAUUAGAUACCCCAGUAGUCCCA
rnacentral:rRNA from 1 species